UACGUAGGGUGCGAGCGUUGUCCGGAAUUAUUGGGCGUAAAGAGCUUGUAGGCGGUUUGUCGCGUCUGCUGUGAAAAUCCGGGGCUCAACCCCGGACUUGCAGUGGGUACGGGCAGACUAGAGUGUGGUAGGGGAGACUGGAAUUCCUGGUGUAGCGGUGAAAUGCGCAGAUAUCAGGAGGAACACCGAUGGCGAAGGCAGGUCUCUGGGCCGCUACCGACGCUGAGAAGCGAAAGCAUGGGGAGCGAACAGG
rnacentral:rRNA from 1 species